GAUGAACGCUGGCGGCGUGCCUAAUACAUGCAAGUCGAGCGAACGGACGAGAAGCUUGCUUCUCUGAUGUUAGCGGCGGACGGGUGAGUAACACGUGGAUAACCUACCUAUAAGACUGGGAUAACUUCGGGAAACCGGAGCUAAUACCGGAUAAUAUUUUGAACCGCAUGGUUCAAAAGUGAAAGACGGUCUUGCUGUCACUUAUAGAUGGAUCCGCGCUGCAUUAGCUAGUUGGUAAGGUAACGGCUUACCAAGGCAACGAUGCAUAGCCGACCUGAGAGGGUGAUCGGCCACACUGGAACUGAGACACGGUCCAGACUCCUACGGGAGGCAGCAGUAGGGAAUCUUCCGCAAUGGGCGAAAGCCUGACGGAGCAACGCCGCGUGAGUGAUGAAGGUCUUCGGAUCGUAAAACUCUGUUAUUAGGGAAGAACAUAUGCGUAAGUAACUGUGCACAUCUUGACGGUACAUAAUCAGAAAGCCACGGCUAACUACGUG
rnacentral:rRNA from 1 species